rnacentral:tRNA from 1 species
UAGAUUGAAGCCAGUUGACUAGGGUAUUUAGCUGUUAACUAAAAUUUCGUGGGAUGAUAGCCCACCAAUCUAG